rnacentral:rRNA from 1 species
UCCGAACUCUCACUUUCUAACCCUGUGCACUUGUUUGGGAUAGUAACUCUCGCAAGAGAGCGAACUCCUAUUCACUUAUAAACACAAAGUCUAUGAAUGUAUUAAAUUUUAUAACAAAAUAAAACUUUCAACAACGGAUCUCUUGGCUCUCGCAUCGAUGAAGAACGCAGCGAAAUGCGAUAAGUAAUGUGAAUUGCAGAAUUCAGUGAAUCAUCGAAUCUUUGAACGCACCUUGCGCUCCAUGGUAUUCCGUGGAGCAUGCCUGUUUGAGUGUCAUGAAUACUUCAACCCUCCUCUUUCUUAAUGAUUGAAGAGGUGUUUGGUUUCUGAGCGCUGCUGGCCUUUACGGUCUAGCUCGUUCGUAAUGCAUUAGCAUCCGCAAUCGAACUUCGGAUUGACUUGGCGUAAUAGACUAUUCGCUGAGGAAUUCUAGUCUUCGGAUUAGAGCCGGGUUGGGUUAAAGGAAGCUUCUAAUCAGAAUGUCUACAUUUUAAGAUUAGAUCUCAAAUCAGGUAGGACUACCCGCUGAACUUAAGCAUAUCAAUA